GCCUUGCGAAGGCCGACCCUGGCAACGCCAAUAACUACAUCGAUCUGGUCCUCUUCGAGCUAAACAAGCUGUUGCCUCCGCGAAUUGACCUGCCCGACAUCGGAGGUACGUUCGACCUGCACGACUGCUACGUAUUCGGCCUGGACAACGGUGUGCACAGGUCGGGGGAUGCAACGAUGGUCACGGUCGAGGAAACUGUCAAGUUCUCGGCCGCCUUCUAUAUGAAAGAUUUGGGACUUACCUGCACCUGGAAAUAUAUGCUGAUGAGGGGAGACGCAGGAGGCUCGACGGCCCUCGUGGACAUCUCGUCAGCCAUCUCCCUGCAGCUCACGUCUGGCAGCAGCCCUCAGCUUA